rnacentral:rRNA from 1 species
UACGGAGUGUGCUAGCGUUGUUCGGAAUUACUGGGCGUAAAGCGCGUGUAGGCGGCAAUGCAAGUCGGACGUGAAAUCCCGGGGCUCAACCCCGGAACUGCGUUCGAAACUGCAUAGCUUGAGUUCGGGAGGGGAUGGUGGAAUUCCGAGUGUAGAGGUGGAAUUCGUAGAUAUUCGGAGGAACACCCGUGGCGAAGGCGACCAUCUGGACCGAUACUGACGCUGAGACGCGAAAGCGUGGGGAGCAAACAGG